AUUGAACGCUGGCGGCAUGCCUUACACACGCAAGUCGAACGGUAACAGGUCUUCGGAUGCUGACGAGUGGCGAACGGGUGAGUAAUACAUCGGAACGUGCCUAGUAGUGGGGGAUAACUACUCGAAAGAGUGGCUAAUACCGCAUGAGAUCUACGGAUGAAAGCAGGGGAUCGCAAGACCUUGUGCUACUAGAGCGGCCGAUGGCAGAUUAGGUAGUUGGUGGGAUAAAAGCUUACCAAGCCGACGAUCUGUAGCUGGUCUGAGAGGACGAUCAGCCACACUGGGACUGAGAAACGGCCCAGACUCCUACGGGAGGCAGCAGUGGGGAAUUUUGGACAAUGGGCGAAAGCCUGAUCCAGCAAUGCCGCGUGCAGGAUGAAGGCCUUCGGGUUGUAAACUGCUUUUGUACGGAACGAAAAGCCCCGGGUUAAUACCCUGGGGUCAUGACGGUACCGUAAGAAUAAGCACCGGCUAACUUCGUGCCAGCAGCCGCCGUAA
rnacentral:rRNA from 1 species